rnacentral:rRNA from 1 species
CCUACGGGAGGCAGCAGUAGGGAAUAUUGCACAAUGGGCGAAAGCCUGAUGCAGCAACGCCGCGUGCGCGAAGAAGGCCUUCGGGUUGUAAAGCGCUUUUCGGGGAGAAGAGGAAGGACAGUAUCCCCGGAAUAAGGCUCGGCUAACUACGUGCCAGCAGCCGCGGUAACACGUAGGAGCCAAGCGUUAUCCGAAUUCACUGGGCGUAAAGCGCGUGUAGGCGGCCGAACAAGUUGGAUGUGAAGGCUCCUGGCUCAACUAGGAGAGGACGUUCAAUACUGUUAGGCUAGAGGACGGCAGAGGAAGGUGGAAUUCCCGGUGUAGUGGUGAAAUGCGUAGAUAUCGGGAGGAACACCAGAGGCGAAGGCGGCCUUCUGGGCCGUUACUGACGCUCAGACGCGAAAGCUAGGGGAGCGAACGGGAUUAGAAACCCCGGUAGUCCUAGCCGUAAACGAUGUAGACUUGGCGUAGGUGGUGUAAAAGCCAUCUGUGCCGAAGCUAACGCAAUAAGUCUACCGCCUGGGGACUACGGCCGCAAGGUUAAAACUCAAAGGAAUUGACGGGGGCCCGCACAAGCAGCGGAGCGUGUGGUUUAAUUCGAUGCUACACGAAGAACCUUACCUGGGUUUGACAUGCAAGUGGUAGGGAACUGAAAGGGGACCGACCCUUCGGGGAGCUAUGAGAAGGGCGAAUUCCACCCCCUUGGGGGGCGU